GGAGCACGCCGCGUGAGUGAUGAAGGUUUUCGGAUCGUAAAGCUCUGUUGUUAGGGAAGAACAAGUACCGUUCGAAUAGGGCGGUACCUUGACGGUACCUAACCAGAAAGCCACGGCUAACUACGUGCCAGCAGCCGCGGUAAUACGUAGGUGGCAAGCGUUGUCCGGAAUUAUUGGGCGUAAAGGGCUCGCAGGCGGUUUCUUAAGUCUGAUGUGAAAGCCCCCGGCUCAACCGGGGAGGGUCAUUGGAAACUGGGGAACUUGAGUGCAGAAGAGGAGAGUGGAAUUCCACGUGUAGCGGUGAAAUGCGUAGAGAUGUGGAGGAACACCAGUGGCGAAGGCGACUCUCUGGUCUGUAACUGACGCUGAGGAGCGAAAGCGUGGGGAGCGAACAGGAUUAGAUACCCUGGUAGUCCACGCCGUAAACGAUGAGUGCUAAGUGUUAGGGGGUUUCCGCCCCUUAGUGCUGCAGCUAACGCAUUAAGCACUCC
rnacentral:rRNA from 1 species